UACGAAGGGGCUAGCGUUGUUCGGAAUCACUGGGCGUAAAGGGCGCGUAGGCGGCUUUAUAAGUCGGGGUGAAAGCCUGUGGCUCAACCACAGAAUUGCCUUCGAUACUGUAUGGCUUGAGACCGGAAGAGGUAAGUGGAACUGCGAGUGUAGAGGUGAAAUUCGUAGAUAUUCGCAAGAACACCAGUGGCGAAGGCGGCUUACUGGUCCGGUUCUGACGCUGAGGCGCGAAAGCGUGGGAGCAACAGG
rnacentral:rRNA from 1 species